rnacentral:lncRNA from 1 species
AUGGAUAGUGACAUUUUUUGGAAGUGCAAAAAUGACGCAAAACCACAGGGUAUUUACAGGUUUAUAAGAAUGAACGAUUUGGAAAAUGUAAUUAAUUAUGAUGGAAUAUUACAAGAAAUAAAAUUAGAGAAUUGUGAACUAUUAAAUUAUUUAAUUAGAGAAUAUAAUUUAAAAGCGAUUUUAACUUAUAUUAUUGAGGAAGCAGUAGGAGAUAAUUGUUCUUAUGACCGUACACAUAAGUUACCUUAUAAAUGCCAUCAGAUUAUAAUUAGCGAACAUAAAUUAAUAUCGGAUUCAAUUGUAUAUAAUGAAGAGCUUAUGGAUUAUUUUUGGAGUUUUUUAUUGUCAAAAAAACAAUUAAAUGAAGUAUUAGCUGGAUAUUUUUGUAGAUGUGCUAUAGCUCUUUAUAACAAAAAUACAAGAGGAGUAGUAGAUUUUUUAAAAAAAAAAAAAGAAUUAUAUUUGAAAGCUUUUUUAUAUCAUUUUUAUUCCAGAAAUAUAACUGAACUAUUUAAAGUUUUAUUAUUUGUUAAAAUUCCAUAUUUAUGUAUAUUUGAUAAUAAAAAUAUUAUAUUUUAUAUAUUAAGUAAUUUGAAUGGUAAUUUUUCAAAAAACAAUUAUAUCAUUUCUGAUAGAGAAGAUAAUAUUACUUGUUUAUUAAGAGAUAUAUUUGUAAGAAAAGCAGAAAUAUAUUAUUUUAAUUAUUUUUUAAUUGAUUUAUCAUCUCAAAUGACUUUUUCUUAUUUAAUUAAAUGUGUCUUUUCUAAUUGUCCUUACACUAUAUCUGCUGCUAUAACUAUUAUAUCCGAUUUAUUACAUUAUACAGUCUUAUCAAAAACAUGUAACAAUAUUGAUUUUUAUGAAUGUUUAGAAAUUUAUAAUAAAGAAGAAGAAUUAAGAGAAAAUGAAAAGAGAGUCGAAUCAAUGAUAUCGCAACAAGACAAAAAAAAUAAUAAAAAAAAAAUGUUAAAAAAUAAUAUGAAAAUUAAAACAAUAGAUGGUGUAAAAAAAAAAAAAAAAAAAAAAAAAAAAAAACAAUCCAAAUAA